UUGAACGCUGGCGGCAUGCCUUACACAUGCAAGUCGAACGGCAGCACGGGGGCAACCCUGGUGGCGAGUGGCGAACGGGUGAGUAAUACAUCGGAACGUGCCCUGAAGUGGGGGAUAACGUAGCGAAAGUUACGCUAAUACCGCAUAUUCUGUGAGCAGGAAAGCAGGGGAUCGCAAGACCUUGCGCUUUAGGAGCGGCCGAUGUCGGAUUAGCUAGUUGGUGAGGUAAAGGCUCACCAAGGCGACGAUCCGUAGCGGGUCUGAGAGGAUGAUCCGCCACACUGGGACUGAGACACGGCCCAGACUCCUACGGGAGGCAGCAGUGGGGAAUUUUGGACAAUGGGCGCAAGCCUGAUCCAGCCAUGCCGCGUGAGUGAAGAAGGCCUUCGGGUUGUAAACUGCUUUUGUACGGAACGAAAAGGUCUGGGUUAAUACCCUGGGCUCAUGACGGUACCGUAAGAAUAAGCACCGGCUAACUACGU
rnacentral:rRNA from 1 species